rnacentral:rRNA from 1 species
UACGUAGGGGGCUAGCGUUGUUCGGAUUCAUUGGGCGUAAAGGGUGCGUAGGUGGCGCGCUAAGUCAGGUGUGAAAUUUCGGAGCUUAACUCCGAAACUGCAUUUGAUACUGGCGUGCUUGAGGACUGGAGAGGAGACUGGAAUUCAUGGUGUAGCAGUGAAAUGCGCAGAUAUCAGGAAGAACACCAAUGGCGAAAGCAGCUUUCUGGGACGGUACUGACGCUGAGACGCGAAAGCGUGGGGAGCGAACAGG